rnacentral:rRNA from 1 species
GAGGAAUAUUGGUCAAUGGACGAAAGUCUGAACCAGCCAAGUAGCGUGCAGGAUGACGGCCCUCCGGGUUGUAAACUGCUUUUAGUUGGGAAUAAAAAAAGGGACGUGUCCCUUAUUGUAUGUACCUUCAGAAAAAGGACCGGCUAAUUCCGUGCCAGCAGCCGCGGUAAUACGGAAGGUCCAGGCGUUAUCCGGAUUUAUUGGGUUUAAAGGGAGCGUAGGCGGAUUGUUAAGUCAGCGGUUAAAGGGUGUGGCUCAACCAUACAUUGCCGUUGAAACUGGCGAUCUUGAGUGCAGACAGGGAUGCCGGAAUUCGUGGUGUAGCGGUGAAAUGCUUAGAUAUCACGAAGAACUCCGAUCGCGAAGGCAGGUGUCCGGGCUGCAACUGACGCUGAGGCUCGAAAGUGUGGGUAUCAAACAGGAUUAGAUACCCUGGUAGUCCGCACAGUAAACGAUGGAUGCCCGCUGUUGGUACCUGGUAUCAGCGGCUAAGCGAAAGCAUUAAGCAUCCCACCUGGGGAGUACGCCGGCAACGGUG